rfam:Canis lupus familiaris chromosome 15, whole genome shotgun sequence.
GUGCUUGCUUCGGCAGCACAUAUACUAAAAUUGAAACGAUAUGUUAAAGAUGAGCAUGGCCCUUGCAUAAGGAUGACACACAAAUUUGUGAAGUGUCCCUUAUUUCU